UUACUCCUACGGGGGGCAGCAGUGGGGGAUAUUGCACAAUGGGGGGAACCCUGAUGCAGCGACGCCGCGUGGGCGAUGGAGUACUUCGGUAUGUAAAGCCCUAUCAGCAGGGAAGAAAAUGACGGUACCUGACUAAGAAGCCCCGGCUAAAUACGUGCCAGCAGCCGCGGUAAUACGUAUGGGGCAAGCGUUAUCCGGAUUUACUGGGUGUAAAGGGAGCGUAGGCUGUUUCGUAAGUCGUGUGUGAAAGGCGCGGGCUCAACCCGCGGACGGCACAUGAUACUG
rnacentral:rRNA from 1 species